rnacentral:rRNA from 1 species
GAUGAACGUUGGCGGCGUGCCUAAUACAUGCAAGUCGAGCGAACAGACGAGGAGCUUGCUCCUCUGACGUUAGCGGCGGACGGGUGAGUAACACGUGGAUAACCUACCUAUAAGACUGGGAUAACUUCGGGAAACCGGAGCUAAUACCGGAUAAUAUAUUGAACCGCAUGGUUCAAUAGUGAAAGACGGUUUUGCUGUCACUUAUAGAUGGAUCCGCGCCGCAUUAGCUAGUUGGUAAGGUAACGGCUUACCAAGGCAACGAUGCGUAGCCGACCUGAGAGGGUGAUCGGCCACACUGGAACUGAGACACGGUCCAGACUCCUACGGGAGGCAGCAGUAGGGAAUCUUCCGCAAUGGGCGAAAGCUUGACGGAGCAACGCCGCGUGAGUGAUGAAGGUCUUCGGAUCGUAAAACUCUGUUAUUAGGGAAGAACAAAUGUGUAAGUAACUAUGCACGUCUUGACGGUACCUAAUCAGAAAGCCACGGCUAACUACGU